UACGUAGGGACCGAGCGUUGUCCGGAAUCAUUGGGCGUAAAGAGCGUGUAGGCGGCCCCUUAAGUCCUGCGUGAAAUCCUGCGGCUCAACCGCAGACGGUCGUGGGAAACUGGAGGGCUAGAGUGCGGGAGAGGAGAGUGGAAUUCCCGGUGUAGCGGUGAAAUGCGCAGAUAUCGGGAGGAACACCUGCGGCGAAGGCGGCUUCCUGGACUGCAACUGACGCUGAGGCGCGAAAGCUAGGGGAGCAAACAGG
rnacentral:rRNA from 1 species